rnacentral:piRNA from 1 species
UCCUGGAUACGUUUAAUGCUCUGGCGC